AACGAACGCUGGCGGCAGGCUUAACACAUGCAAGUCGAACGCCCCGCAAGGGGAGUGGCAGACGGGUGAGUAACGCGUGGGAACAUACCCUUUUCUACGGAAUAGCUCUGGGAAACUGGAAUUAAUACCGUAUACGCCCUACGGGGGAAAGAUUUAUCGGGGAAGGAUUGGCCCGCGUUGGAUUAGCUAGUUGGUGGGGUAAAGGCCUACCAAGGCGACGAUCCAUAGCUGGUCUGAGAGGAUGAUCAGCCACAUUGGGACUGAGACACGGCCCAAACUCCUACGGGAGGCAGCAGUGGGGAAUAUUGGACAAUGGGCGCAAGCCUGAUCCAGCCAUGCCGCGUGAGUGAUGAAGGCCUUAGGGUUGUAAAGCUCUUUCACCGAUGAAGAUAAUGACGGUAGUCGGAGAAGAAGCCCCGGCUAACUUCGCG
rnacentral:rRNA from 1 species